UACAGAGGGUGCGAGCGUUAAUCAGAAUUACUGGGCGUAAAGGGCGCGUAGGUGGUUUAGUAAGUGAGAUGUGAAAUCCCUGGGCUUAACCUAGGAACUGCAUCUUAAACUGUUGAACUAGAGUGCGGUAGAGGGUAGUGGAAUUUCCGGUGUAGCGGUGAAAUGCGUAGAUAUCGGAAGGAACACCAGUGGCGAAGGCGGCUACCUGGACUGACACUGACACUGAGGCGCGAAAGCGUGGGUAGCAAACAGG
rnacentral:rRNA from 1 species